GACGAACGCUGGCGGCGUGCUUAACACAUGCAAGUCGAACGGAAAGGCCCUGCUUUUGUGGGGUUCUCGUUUGGCGAACGGGUGAGUAACACGUGUGUAACCUGCCCUUGUCUUUGUGAUAACUUCUGGAAACUGGGGCUAUUACCGCAUAGGAGCUCCUGCUGCAUGGUGGGGGUUGGAAAGUUUCGGCGGUUGGGGAUCGACUCGCUGCUUAUCAGCUUGUUUGUGAGGUAGUUGCUUACCAAGGCUUUGACGGGUAGCCGGCCUGGGAGGGUGACCGGCCACAAUGGGACUGAGAUAGGGCGCAGAAUGCAACGGGAGGCAGCAGUGGGGAAUAUUGCACAAUGGGCGGAAGCGUGAUGCAGAAACGCCGCGUGCGGGAUGACGGCCUUCGGGUUGUAAACAGAUUUCGACUGUGACGAAGCGUGAGUGACGGUAAUGGGUAAAGAAGCACCGGCUAACUACGUG
rnacentral:rRNA from 1 species